rnacentral:rRNA from 1 species
GUCUUUUUGGUUAUUUAAUAUAAAGUCUGACCUGCCCACUGAAUAUAGAUUUAAAUGGCCGCAGUAUUUUGACUGUGCAAAGGUAGCAUAAUCAUUAGUCUUUUAAUUGAAGGCUGGUAUGAAUGGUUGGAUGAGGUACAAGCUGUGUCAUAAAAAUUAAUAUUUGAAUUUACCUUUUUAGUCAAAAGGCUAAAAUUUUAUUAAAAGACGAGAAGACCCUAUAGAGCUUUAUAUAGUUUAUAUUUAAAUUAUUAAUAUUUUUUAAAUUUAAUUAUUUUAUUAUAUUUUGUUGGGGUGACAAUAAAAUUUAUAAAACUUUUAUUAUUAUUAUACAUUAAUUUAUGUUUAAAUGAUCCAGUUUUAUUGAUUAUAAAUUUAAGUUACCUUAGGGAUAACAGCGUAAUUUUUUUUGAGAGUUCUUAUCGACAAAAAAGAUUGCGACCUCGAUGUUGGAUUAAGAGUAAUUUUGGGUGUAGAAGUUCAAAGUUUAAGUCUGUUCGACUUUUAAAUUCUUACAU